rnacentral:rRNA from 1 species
UACGGAGGGUGCAAGCGUUAAUCGGAAUUACUGGGCGUAAAGCGUGCGCAGGCGGUUCGUUAAGUCGGAUGUGAAAGCCCUCGGCUCAACUGAGGAAGUGCACCCGAAACUGGCGAGCUUGAGUACGAAAGAGGAUCGCGGAAUUCCCGGUGUAGAGGUGAAAUUCGUAGAUAUCGGGAGGAACACCGGUGGCGAAGGCGGCGAUCUGGGUCGAUACUGACGCUGAGGUGCGAAAGCGUGGGGAGCAAACAGG